CGGACGGGUGCUAUAAUGCAGUCGAGCGAACAGAUAAGGAGCUUGCUCCUUUGACGUUAGCGGCGGACGGGUGAGUAACACGUGGGUAACCUACCUAUAAGACUGGGAUAACUUCGGGAAACCGGAGCUAAUACCGGAUAAUAUUUCGAACCGCAUGGUUCGAUAGUGAAAGAUGGUUUUGCUAUCACUUAUAGAUGGACCCGCGCCGUAUUAGCUAGUUGGUAAGGUAACGGCUUACCAAGGCGACGAUACGUAGCCGACCUGAGAGGGUGAUCGGCCACACUGGAACUGAGACACGGUCCAGACUCCUACGGGAGGCAGCAGUAGGGAAUCUUCCGCAAUGGGCGAAAGCCUGACGGAGCAACGCCGCGUGAGUGAUGAAGGUCUUCGGAUCGUAAAACUCUGUUAUUAGGGAAGAACAUACGUGUAAGUAACUGUGCACGUCUUGACGGUACCUAAUCAGAAAGCCACGGCUAACUACGUGCCAGCAGCCGCGGUAAUACGUAGGUGGCAAGCGUUAUCCGGAAUUAUUGGGCGUAAAGCGCGCGUAGGCGGUUUUUUAAGUCUGAUGUGAAAGCCCACGGCUCAACCGUGGAGGGUCAUUGGAAACUGGAAAACUUGAGUGCAGAAGAGGAAAGUGGAAUUCCAUGUGUAGCGGUGAAAUGCGCAGAGAUAUGGAGGAACACCAGUGGCGAAGGCGACUUUCUGGUCUGUAACUGACGCUGAUGUGCGAAAGCGUGGGGAUCAAACAGGAUUAGAUACCCUGGUAGUCCACGCCGUAAACGAUGAGUGCUAAGUGUUAGGGGGUUUCCGCCCCUUAGUGCUGCAGCUAACGCAUUAAGCACUCCGCCUGGG
rnacentral:rRNA from 1 species